CAGGAAUCGAACGAAUACUUUGUGUAGAAGAUGGGAUACUUUUUGUGAUCGCUUCGAACGGAUUUUCAGUGACUGUGGCUUUAUCUUUAUGAACGAAGGCCUAGGAAUAUCAGAACUGAAAUGAAUGAAGAAAAUUGCCAAUAGACAGUAACUACAUAUUUUUCUGAAAUUCGAAGACGGGAGUCUUGGUAACAGCUACUGAGGAAUGAGCAGAACUGGGCUCAACAUGAAACUAGAUGAACCAAGUCCAGCCACAGGAUCGGUUCGUCUGCAAUGACGUGGACGUCCAGAUCAUGUCCAGUGUUCCACAUCAUUCAGUAGCUGUAAUGGAUGUUACCGCUGGCGAUGCAGUCACUGGUGCAGUAGUCAUUGGUGAUGCCAUAGUAGAACCCCAAAAAACAUGAUCAUAGAUGUUAAUAAUGUUUAUGUCGGCUGGACCGAAGCAUGGUUGAAAACUGCAGACAUCUAGAACAGAAGUUCCAAUUGUGUUCUUCCAGCAAUGGCUGACUAAUCUCAGGGCAUUUUCAAGCAAGAGUUGUGAAGAAUACAUUUUGAAUACUGAUGUGAACCUAAAAUUUGCAAUAUCCGACAUUAUCUCAGGAAGUGACAGAAAUAUGUGGCAGCUGCUAUCCUGCAAACUACUCCUACGCUUAAAGUCAGCCUCUUCUAGUCUUGCUUUUGAAGAACUAGUGACUUAAAGUCAGCCUCUUCUAGUCUUACUUUUGAAGAACUAGUGACUUAAAGUUGUCACCUUGUUACUGAUUGUUAAAACCAGUUUUCAUGCAGAACAAGCCAUCUGUUAGUUAAUUUAAAAAAAAAAAAAAAAAAUUUAAAAAUGUUUUCUGUAAUUCUUUGGAGAUUAAUAUUAUUAAACUACACUGGAGAUUAACAUUAUUGCAGGACAUAUUUUAGAGAUUAAUUUUAAAAGACAUUGGAGGUUAAUAUUGCAAAAAAUUGGAGAUUGACUUUGGAGAUUAUUACUGGAGAUUAGCACUGGAGUUUAGAGAUUAGCAUUCAACAUUAAGAUUGAAGAUUGGAAAGUUGUAUUAGAGAUUAGCAUUGGACAUUAUCGCUGACGACAAGUGUUGUUUUAACAAAUUGGAGAUUAAUGUUGUUGCAAGACAUUGGAGGUUAACAUUACAAGACUUUGGAGGUUAAUGCUAAAGACUGGAAAACAGCAUUGAUACAUUAAAAACUAUUGGAAAUUACUGUUGUACAGCAAGAGAUAUCAGAGCUUAAAAUUGUUUAAAAUAUUUCUGAAGAAAAUUUUGAAAAAAA